rnacentral:lncRNA from 1 species
AAAUUGUUGUAAAUGUAAACUUAUUUCGAAUAGAUGUAAAAGAUAAUAGAUAGAAAUCGUGUAAAUCUCUUUAUGAAAUAAAAAAAAAGCAUAGUUUUCUGUAGAAAAGGCAAAAACAUACUAAAUGGCCAGAAAAAUGAAAUGGUGGAGAAGAAAUAAAACAUUAUGAGCAAUUAUAUUAAAUUCGAAGGGACAAAACAUAAUACGUAAUCAC